CCUACGGGAGUCAGCAGUGAGGAAUAUUGGUCAAUGGCCGGAAGGCUGAACCAGCCAAGCCGCGUGAAGGACGAAGGUGCCAAGCAUUGUAAACUUCUUUUGUCAAGGGACAAAAUCAGGCUCGAGAGCCUGACCGAGGGUACUUGAAGAACAAGCAUCGGCUAACUCCGUGCCAGCAGCCGCGGUAAUACGGGGCAUGCGAGCGUUAUCCGGAUUUAUUGGGUUUAAAGGGUGCGUGGGCGGGCUGUUAAGUCAGCGGUAAAAUCCAGGGGCUCAACCCCGGCGAGCCGUUGAAACUGGCUGUCUUGAGAUGUCGAGAGGUAUGCGGAAUGCGCAGUGUAGCGGUGAAAUGCUUAGAUAUUGCGCAGAACUCCGAUUGCGAAGGCAGCAUACCGGCGGCGAUCUGACGCUGAGGCACGAAAGCGUGGGUAUCGAACAGGAUUAGAUACCCCAGUAGUC
rnacentral:rRNA from 1 species